rnacentral:misc_RNA from 1 species
GUGAAUCAUCAAAUCUUUGAACGCAAAUUGCACUCUCCUCGUAGAGUCUGCCUGUUUGAGGUUCAGCCUAUAAAAAUCGACAUCGCUGCUGCUUCGCGGUGGCGUUCGUCGGAAAUUGGGUCAUCUUACAUCCUUUUGACUUACGCGACUUAAAAUUUUCUUUUGGUUCCAUGCACGCUUCUAAGAUCUAUUUCUUUACACGUUUACGUUAUCGAUUUUUACUAGUCGUGCCCAUCAUAUCGGAUCGCUUCCCUACUCUUUCAUUACCUGACCUCAUACAGGUCAGAC